rnacentral:rRNA from 1 species
UACAGAGGGUGCUAGCGUUGUUCGGAAUCAUUGGGCGUAAAGGGCGUGUAGGCGGUUUGUUAAGUCAUGUGUGAAAUCCCUCGGCUCAACCGGGGAACGACGCAUGAAACUGGCAAGCUAGAGUACCAAAGAGGGGGGUGGAAUUCCCGGUGUAGAGGUGAAAUUCGUAGAUAUCGGGAGGAACACCAGUGGCGAAGGCGGCGACCUGGACGGACACUGACGCUGAGACGCGAAAGCGUGGGGAGCAAACAGG